GACCCCACUGACUGUUUCCCCCCAGGACGGACACUCCUCCGACUCCAGCUCCAGUUCCAGCUCCAGCGAUGGGGAGAAGCACCACGGCCCGGGCCACGAGCACAAGAAGAAGGAGAAACUGCACAAGAAACCCAAGGACAAGAAAAAGGAAAAGAAAAGCCACUGAGCAGGGCCAGGACCCAGCAGCACCCCCAGGUGCAAUGGGGCAGUAGCAGGGCAGGGGCUGCCCCGAGGCAGGGCCCAGCACCCCCCUGGGGCAGCAUCACCCCACUCCUACCUGGUAAUAAAGAGCUUGAACCCUGA